ensembl:snRNA U12 U12 minor spliceosomal RNA
AUGCCUUAAACAUAUGAGCAAGGAAAAUAAUCAUUCAGGGUGAUGCCUGCAUCUUCACUGCUAAUGUGAAGUGAAUUUUUGAGCAGUUAACAUUGCCCCAAAGUGACCAGUCUUUGUAGGAUGCCUGGGAGUGAUACCUA